UACGAAGGGGGCUAGCGUUGUUCGGAAUUACUGGGCGUAAAGGGCGCGUAGGCGGCGUGUCAAGUCAGGCGUGAAAGCCCCGGGCUCAACCUGGGAACCGCGCUUGAGACUGGCAUGCUCGAGUUCGGUGAGGGGAGACGUGGUAAUUCCUGGUGUAGCGGUGAAAUGCGCAGAUAUCAGGAGGAACACCGGUGGCGAAGGCGGGUCUCUGGGCCGAUACUGACGCUGAGGAGCGAAAGCGUGGGGAGCGAACAGG
rnacentral:rRNA from 1 species